rnacentral:rRNA from 1 species
AGAGUUUGAUCCUGGCUCAGGACGAACGCUGGCGGCGCGCUUAACACAUGCAAGUCGAGCGAGAACCAGGCCUUCGGGCCUGGGGACGGCGGCGAACGGGUGAGUAACACGUGGGUAAUCAACCCUCGGUACUGGGAUAGCCCGGGGAAACCCGGAUUAAUACCGGAUGGCCCUUCGGAUCUUCGGUUCUGAAGGAAAAGGUAGCUUCGGCCUCCGACCGAGGACGAGCCCGCGGCGGAUUAGCUUGUUGGUGGGGUAACGGCCUACCAAGGCGGCGAUCCGUAGCUGGUCUGAGAGGACGAUCAGCCACACUGGGACUGAGACACGGCCCAGACUCCUACGGGAGGCAGCAGUGGGGAAUCUUGCGCUAAUGCGGGAAACCGUGACGCAGCGACGCCGCGUGAGGGAAGAAGGCCUUCGGGUUGUAAACCUCUUUCAGGAGGGACGAAGCUACUCGGGUUAAUAGCCCAGAGGGUGACGGUACCUCCAGAAGAAGCCCCGGCUAACUACGUGCCAGCAGCCGCGGUAAUAC